rnacentral:rRNA from 2 species
UACCUUUUGUAUAAUGGGUCAGCGACUUAUAUUCUGUAGCAAGGUUAACCGAAUAGGGGAGCCGGAGGGAAACCGAGUCUUAAUUGGGCGUUAAGUUGCAGGGUAUAGACCCGAAACCCGGUGAUCUAGCCAUGGGCAGGUUGAAGGUUGGGUAACACUAACUGGAGGACCGAACCGACUAAUGUUGAAAAAUUAGCGGAUGACCUGUGGCUGGGGGUGAAAGGCCAAUCAAACCGGGAGAUAGCUGGUUCUCCCCGAAAGCUAUUUAGGUAGCGCCUCGUGAAUUCAUCUCCGGGGGUAGAGCACUGUUUCGGCUAGGGGGCCAUCCCGGCUUACCAACCCGAUGCAAACUGCGAAUACCGGAGAAUGUUAUCACGGGAGACACACGGCGGGUGCUAACGUCCGUCGUGAAGAGGGAAACAACCCAGACCGCCAGCUAAGGUCCCAAAGUCAUGGUUAAGUGGGAAACGAUGUGGGAAGGCCCAGACAGCCAGGAUGUUGGCUUAGAAGCAGCCAUCAUUUAAAGAAAGCGUAAUAGCUCACUGGUCGAGUCGGCCUGCGCGGAAGAUGUAACGGGGCUAAACCAU